CGGACGGGUGAGUAACGCGUGAGAAUCUACCCUCAGGUCGGGGACAACCACUGGAAACGGUGGCUAAUACCGGAUGUGCCGAGAGGUGAAAGGCUUGCUGCCUGGGGAAGAGCUUGCGUCUGAUUAGCUAGUUGGUAGUGUAAGGGACUACCAAGGCGACGAUCAGUAGCUGGUCUGAGAGGAUGAUCAGCCACACUGGGACUGAGACACGGCCCAGACUCCUACGGGAGGCAGCAGUGGGGAAUUUUCCGCAAUGGGCGAAAGCCUGACGGAGCAAUACCGCGUGAGGGAGGAAGGCUCUUGGGUUGUAAACCUCUUUUCUCAGGGAAGAAAAAAAUGACGGUACCUGAGGAAUAAGCAUCGGCUAACUCCGUGCCAGCAGCCGCGGUAAUACGGAGGAUGCAAGCGUUAUCCGGAAUGAUUGGGCGUAAAGGGUCCGCAGGUGGCAUUGUAAGUCUGCUGUUAAAGAGUUUGGCUCAACCAAAUAAAAGCAGUGGAAACUACAAAGCUAGAGUUUGGUCGGGGCAGAGGGAAUUCCUGGUGUAGCGGUGAAAUGCGUAGAUAUCAGGAAGAACACCAGUGGCGAAGGCGCUCUGCUAGGCCGAGACUGACACUGAGGGACGAAAGCUAGGGGAGCGAAUGGGAUUAGAUACCCCAGUAGUC
rnacentral:rRNA from 1 species